rnacentral:rRNA from 1 species
CGUUGGUCGACCUACCCCAAAGUGUGGGAUAACAGUUCGAAAGAACUGCUAAUACCGCAUGUGGUUAUUGGAUUUAGAAACUGAUAACUAAAGGAGCAAUUCGCUUUGGGAGGGACCUGCGUCCCAUCAGCUAGUUGGUGAGGUAAUGGCUCACCAAGGCUACGACGGGUAGGGGACCUGAGAGGGUGACCCCCCACAAUGGAACUGAAACACGGUCCAUACACCUACGGGUGGCAGCAGUAGGGAAUAUUGCACAAUGGGCGAAAGCCUGAUGCAGCAACGCCGCGUGUGCGAUGAAGGCCUUCGGGUCGUAAAGCACUUUUCUGAGAGAUGAGCAAGGACAGUAUCUCAGGAAUAAGUCUCGGCUAACUACGUG